GUGGGGAAUAUUGGACAAUGGGCGAAAGCCUGAUCCAGCCAUGCCGCGUGUGUGAAGAAGGUCUUCGGAUUGUAAAGCACUUUAAGUUGGGAGGAAGGGCAGUAAGUUAAUACCUUGCUGUUUUGACGUUACCGACAGAAUAAGCACCGGCUAACUUCGUGCCAGCAGCCGCGGUAAUACGAAGGGUGCAAGCGUUAAUCGGAAUUACUGGGCGUAAAGCGCGCGUAGGUGGUUUUGUAAGUUGGAGGUGAAAUCCCCGGGCUCAACCUGGGAACUGCAACCAAAACUGGCGAGCUAGAGUACGGUAGAGGGUAGUGGAAUUUCCUGUGUAGCGGUGAAAUGCGUAGAUAUAGGAAGGAACACCAGUGGCGAAGGCGACUACCUGGACUGAUACUGACACUGAGGUGCGAAAGCGUGGGGAGCAAACAGGAUUAGAAACCCGGGUAGUCC
rnacentral:rRNA from 1 species